CAAUACCGUGCCCUACCUUUUGGACUCGCGACGGCCCCAAGAAUAUUCACCAAGAUCCUGGCACCAGUGAUAGCCAAUCUGAGACUAGCAGGAAUACAAAUUUUCGCCUACCUCGACGAUCUCCUAAUCAUAUGCUCCAACAGGGAUCUUCUGAGGGCCCACCUUCUUACAACCUCUGCAUAUCUUCAGAGCCUGGGCUGGUUGAUCAACUGGGAAAAGAGCCACACUCAACCUACUCAAGAAUUAGAAUUUCUGGGAGUCCUGAUAAACACUCGGACUCUAUCCUUAAGCCUCCCAACAAGGAAGAUUCCAGAGAUCAGAGAAGCGGUCCUAGCCCUCACUCGAUUCCCCAUGACAACAGCACGAAUAUGCCAACAAAUCUUGGGGAAACUAGGAUCCACAUCAGAAUGCGUCAAGUGGGCCAGAAUGCACACCAGAGCACUCCAGAGGGAGUUUCUCUCGAAUUGGGACCACGACUAUAUGAACCCCAAUCAACUCAUCAGUUUAAGCCCAGCUACCAUGGCAUCUCUCAACUGGUGGCUACAGGAAGUGAAUCUCCUACAACCCAUUUGUCUUCUUCCAAAAAAUUGGAUAACCAUCACUACAGAUGCCAGCAAGACAGGAUGGGGGGCACACCUAGAGAAUCACAGGGUAUUGGGGAACUGGAACAAGGAAGAGAAACGCAAAUCGUCCAACUGGAAGGAAUUGAAAGCCAUCUUCCUAAGUCUCCUCAAAUUCCAACACCUAGUCCAAGGGAAAGCUGUACGGAUCAGGUCAGACAACAUGACGGCGGUGACUUAUGUCAACAAACAAGGUGGAACAAAAUCACGAGAGCUAUUAACCUUGACCACUCAUAUGUACUCAUGGGUGGAACUCCACCUGACAGACCUAAAAGCAGUACAUGUCCCAGGCUGUCAGAACUCUCUAGCAGACAAAUUGAGCCGCUCACAUGCGAUUCCGGGAGAAUGGGAACUAAACCAAAAAGCUUUCCUCCUCAUCCAAUCAAAAUGGGGUCCUUUUGCCCUAGACCUAAUGGCAACGAGCAGGAACACGAAACUGGCAACCUUUGUGUCUUGGGGCCUGGACAAAGGGGCAGCAUUCAAAGAUGCAUUUUCAAUAACAUGGAACUUCCACAGACCAUACCUCUUCCCUCCAUUUCCCCUGAUUCCCCGGAUCUUAGACAAGAUCAAAGAGGAUCGAACGGAGGUGGUGUUAGUAGCCCCACUCUGGCCAAGGAGACCAUGGUUUCCUCUCCUCCUACGACUAGCAGUCGAACAACCCCUCACCCUUCCGGUCCUCCCGGAUCUCCUCAGCCAGGGGGUAAUUUUCCAUCCUCAUCCCGAGAGACUACACUUGACGGCAUGGCUCUUGAAAGGAGGAACCUGAGAUCAUCUGGGUUAUCUGCUAACUCCAUUUCCACACUUUUAGCAGCAAGGAAAUCUUCCACCAUCCAAAAGUAUUUCACGGUAUGGGAGAAAUUUCUGGACUGGGGGAAAUCUAAUGACUUAAAUCACCAAAACCUAUCAGAAAUCAAGCUAAUAGAGUUCCUUCAGCAAGGGGUUGAUAGAGGCCUCAGCAAUUCCACUCUUAAAGGCCAGGUUUCGGCUAUAUCUCAUUUCUCCGAAACUCCUUGGGCUCAACAUGCCCUGGUAAAAAGAUUUUUCCAAGGGUUAAGAAGACUCAGACCUAGAGUCCGCUCAAUCGUUCCCCCUUGGGACCUCAACCUAGUCCUAAACUCCUUAACUAAGGAACCUUUCGAACCUUUGGACACAGUACCCUUCAAGUUUCUGACACUCAAGAUGUGCUUCCUUCUAGCAAUUACUUCAGCAAGGCGAGUGUGCGAGCUGCAAGCCCUGUCAAUACAAGAAGGCAAACUUUCUUUCUUACAAGACAGAGUUAUCUUAAAAACAGCAGACGACUUUCGCCCUAAAAGACUCUCUGACUUUCAUACAUCCCAAGAUAUCAUACUGCCAUCCUUCUUCCAAGAUCCGAAGUCGGAUGAGGAAUUACGUCUACACACUCUGGAUGUCAUUAGAUGUCUGUCUAUCUAUUUAGAUAGAGUCAAGACCGUCAGGAAGACCGAAUCCCUCCUGGUGAUCCCCUCUGGGAACAAAGCAGGAACUCAGCCUUCCAAGUCGACAAUAGCCAAUUGGAUCAAGCAAUGCAUACAUCUGGCUUAUAACUCUCAACAAGACAGUGUACCCUCUAAUGUAAAAGCGCACUCCACGAGGGCAUUGGCUGCGUCCUGGGCAUUCCAUUCCAGGGCUUCGGCGGAAGACAUCUGCAAGGCGGCAGUCUGGUCCUCCCUUCAUACGUUUGCUAAACACUAUCAUUUCGAUGUUUUCAUGAAAAAAUGCUCGGCUUUCGGUUCAGCCGUUCUGCAGUCUGCUCUACUUGAUAAUUAAAUUUUCCCUCCCAGCAAUUGUGUUGAUCUUUUGUACAUCCCAUAGUGUGCCCACUGCCAUGUGGAAGGAACAGGAAACGAGAAAAUCAAUUCAUACUUACCGAGAUUUUCUUUUCCUGGACUGUAACAUGGCAGUGGGCACAGCUUCCCACCCUGUUUGGGGGAGACUCCAGUACGUCAAAGAUGGCGGCCAGGGGGCGGAAGUAAGUUUUUAUAGAGGAAAACCUGUCCAAUCACGAGGCAGGGGGGAUUAACCCAUAGUGUGCCCACUGCCAUGUUACAGUCCAGGAAAAGAAAAUCUCGGUAAGUAUGAAUUGAUUUUCUCGUUUCUAUCAGCUCAACCUUGCUGCUGAUUGGUUCCUAUACUACAGCUCCUGCUCCCCUGGACAGCCUGGAAAAGGAGGCAGCAGCAUUUUAACAUCAGUCAACACUGGGAAAGGACCUCAGAAACUACCUGGCUGAGCCCAGACACAGAAGUUCAGGGGUCAACACGUUUCACUG